rnacentral:rRNA from 1 species
AGCGAACGCUGGCGGCAGGCCUAACACAUGCAGGUCGAACGAACUCUUCGGAGUUAGUGGCGGACGGGUGAGUAACACGUGGGAACGUGCCUUUAGGUUCGGAAUAACUCAGGGAAACUUGUGCUAAUACCGAAUGUGCCCUUCGGGGGAAAGAUUUAUCGCCUUUAGAGCGGCCCGCGUCAGAUUAGCUAGUUGGUGGGGGUAAUGGCCCACCAAGGCGACGAUCAGUAGCUGGUCUGAGAGGCUGACCAGCCACAUUGGGACUGAGACACGGCCCAAACUCCGACGGGAGGCAGCAGUGGGGAAUCUUGCGCAAUGGGCGAAAGCUUGACGCAGCCAUGCCGCGUGUAUGAUGAAGGUCUUAGGAUUGUAAAAUACUUUCACCGGUGAAGAUAAUGACUGUAGCCGGAGAAGAAGCCCCGGCUAACUUCGUGCCAGCCGCCGCAGUAAAAC